rnacentral:rRNA from 1 species
GACGAACGCUGGCGGCGUGCUUAACACAUGCAAGUCGAACGGAAAGGCCCUGCUUUUGUGGGGUGCUCGAGUGGCGAACGGGUGAGUAACACGGGAGUAACCUGCCCUUGACUUUGGGAUAACUUCAGGAAACUGGGGCUAAUACCGGAUAGGAGCUCCUGCUGCAUGGUGGGGGUUGGAAAGUUUCGGCGGUUGGGGAUGGACUCGCGGCUUAUCAGCUUGUUGGUGGGGUAGGGGCUUACCAAGGCUUUGACGGGUAGCCGGCCUGAGAGGGUGACCGGCCACGUUGGGAUUGAGAUACGGCCCAGACUCCUACGGGAGGCAGCAGUGGGGAAGAGUGCACUAUGGGCGGAAGCCUGAUGCAGCAACGCCGCGGGCGGGAUGACGGCCUUCGGGUUGUAAACCGCUUUCGCCUGUGACGAAGCGUGAGUGACGGUAAUGGGUAAAGAAGCACCGGCUAACUACGUG